GAGAGGGAAAUCCAUGGUGCGAGCUUCGUUUUCGAGCUCGAACCUUCCAUUUAUUCCCAAUAGGUUCCAUUUGAACCAAAUCUAAACCAUAAAACCCAAAACCCUAGAAAACACCAUUAAAGGGUUUAGAGCUUACCUCUCUUGAAGACUCCUUCAAGCUUGAGGGAGAGGAAGAGAAGAAGAUGUCUUCUUCUUCUUCUUCUUAGUCUUCUCCUUCUCUUUCUUCUUCUUUCUUCCCUUCUUCUCCUUCCUCUUCUUCUUCUUCUCCUUCUUCUCUUUCUUUUCUUUUCUUUCCUAGAGAGAGAAAGGGAAAGAGUGAGAGAAAGAGAGAGAGAGAGCAGCUGAGAGAGAGUGAGAGGG
rnacentral:lncRNA from 1 species